rnacentral:tRNA from 3 species
AGGGGCGUCGCCAAGUUGGUUAAGGCAUCGGAUUUUGAUUCCGACAUGCGCAGGUUCGAAUCCUUCCGCCCCUGCCA